CUUUCGUGAACGUACACAAUGUACACUGGAAGUUUAUGUACAUCAGUACAGCAACAAGCAGCGUGUAUUUGGUUGAUCCAGCACGCAGCUCCACAGAGUUGACCGACUCCAACCAUGCUGCAAAAAGAUUGAACGAGUACUUCAAAAUGAGGAGGACCUCCCUCGGCAGGACUGACUGGGUUGACAUAAAAUGGAAAGGAGGAGUUAUGCAACACCCAGUGCAGCAGGAUGGAAAUAGCUGUGGGGUACUUGUCAUUAUG